rnacentral:rRNA from 1 species
GCCAGACUCCUACGGGAGGCAGCAGUGGGGGAUAUUGCACAAUGGGGGGAACCCUGAUGCAGCGACGCCGCGUGGGUGAAGAAGCGCCUCGGCGCGUAAAGCCCUGUCAGCAGGGAAGAAAAUGACGGUACCUGAAGAAGAAGCCCCGGCUAACUACGUGCCAGCAGCCGCGGUAAUACGUAGGGGGCAAGCGUUAUCCGGAUUUACUGGGUGUAAAGGGGGCGCAGACGGCGAUGCAAGCCAGGAGUGAAAGCCCGGGGCCCAACCCCGGGACUGCUCUUGGAACUGCGUGGCUGGAGUGCAGGAGGGGCAGGCGGAAUUCCUGGUGUAGCGGUGAAAUGCGUAGAUAUCAGGAGGAACAUCGGUGGCGUAAGCGCUUUACUGGGCCGUAAUUGACGCUGAGGAACGAAAGCCAGGGUAGCAAAUGGGAUUAGAUACCCCGGUA